rnacentral:rRNA from 1 species
AUUGAACGCUGGCGGCAUGCCUUACACAUGCAAGUCGAACGGUAACAGGUCUUCGGAUGCUGACGAGGGGCGGACGGGCGAGUAAUACAUCGGUACGUGGCGGAACGUCGGCGAGAACGGGGCGAAAGCUUUGCUUAUACCGCAUACGAUCAAGGGAUAUAAGCAGGGGACGGCACUGCCUUGUGCGGACGGAGCUGCUGAUGGCAGAUUAGGUAGUUGGUGGGAUAAAAGCUUACCAAGCCGACGAUCUGUAGCUGGUCUGAGAGGACGACCAGCCACACUGGGACUGAGACACGGCCCAGACUCCUACGGGAGGCAGCAGUGGGGAAUUUUGGACAAUGGGCGAAAGCCUGAUCCAGCCAUGCCGCGUGCAGGAUGAAGGCCUUCGGGUUGUAAACUGCUUUUGUACGGAACGAAAAGACUCUUUCUAAUAAAGAGGGUCCAUGACGGUACCGUAAGAAUAAGCACCGGCUAACUACGUG